UUCUACGCGAAGAUAACCAAGUGCAUAUUGUUCACAGUCAGGUAGAGCAGCCACCAGUAAUUGUUUGUUGAUGUCAUUCAAUUAUUUAAUUAAUUGCAAUUAGCUAAUUUUUUUUUGCUACCCGGAA
rnacentral:lncRNA from 1 species